AUUGAACGCUGGCGGCAUGCCUUACACAUGCAAGUCGAACGGUAACAGGUCUUCGGAUGCUGACGAGUGGCGAACGGGUGAGUAAUACACCGGAACGUGCCUAGUAGUGGGGGAUAACUACUCGAAAGAGUGGCUAAUACCGCAUGAGAUCUACGGAUGAAAGCAGGGGAUCGCAAGACCUUGUGCUACUAGAGCGGCCGAUGGCAGAUUAGGUAGUUGGUGGGAUAAAAGCUUACCAAGCCGACGAUCUGUAGCUGGUCUGAGAGGACGAUCAGCCACACUGGAACUGAGAAACGGCCCAGACUACUACGAGAGGCAGCAGUGGGGAAUUUUGGACAAUGGGCGCAAGCCUGAUCCAGCAAUGCCGCGUGCAGAAUGAAGGCCUUCGGGUUGUAAACUGCUUUUGUACGGAACGAAAAGCCCCGGGUUAAUACCCUGGGGUCAUGACGGUACCGUAAGAAUAAGCACCGGCUAACUACGUGCCAGCCGCCGCAGUAA
rnacentral:rRNA from 1 species